rnacentral:rRNA from 1 species
UACGAAGGGGGCUAGCGUUGCUUGGAAUUACUGGGCGUAAAGCGCACGUAGGCGGCUUUCUAAGUCGGGGGUGAAAUCCUGGAGCUCAACUCCAGAACUGCCUUCGAUACUGGAAAGCUCGAGUCCGGGAGAGGUGAGUGGAACUGCGAGUGUAGAGGUGAAAUUCGUAGAUAUUGGGAGGAACACCGGUGGCGAAGGCGGCGACCUGGGUAGAUACUGACGCUGAGGUGCGAAAGCGUGGGGAGCAAACAGG